GAUGAGCGCUGGCGGCGUGCCUAAUACAUGCAAGUCGAGCGAACAGACGAGGAGCUUGCUCCUCUGACGUUAGCGGCGGACGGGUGAGUAACACGUGGAUAACCUACCUAUAAGACUGGGAUAACUUCGGGAAACCGGAGCUAAUACCGGAUAAUAUAUUGAACCGCAUGGUUCAAUAGUGAAAGACGGUUUUGCUGUCACUUAUAGAUGGAUCCGCGCCGCAUUAUCUAGUUGGUAAGGUAACGGCUUACCAAGGCGACGAUGCGUAGCCGACCUGAGAGGGUGAUCGGCCACACUGGAACUGAGACACGGUCCAGACUCCUACGGGAGGCAGCAGUAGGGAAUCUUCCGCAAUGGGCGAAAGCCUGACGGAGCAACGCCGCGUGAGUGAUGAAGGUCUUCGGAUCGUAAAACUCUGUUAUUAGGGAAGAACAAAUGUGUAAGUAACUAUGCACGUCUUGACGGUACCUAAUCAGAAAGCCACGGCUAACUACGUG
rnacentral:rRNA from 1 species